AACGACUCUCGGCAACGGAUAUCUCGGCUCUCGCAUCGAUGAAGAACGUAGCGAAAUGCGAUACUUGGUGUGAAUUGCAGAAUCCCGUGAACCAUCGAGUCUUUGAACGCAAGUUGCGCCCCAAGCCGUCAGGCCGAGGGCACGUCUGCCUG
rnacentral:rRNA from 5 species